rnacentral:misc_RNA from 1 species
UACGUAGGGUCCAAGCGUUAUCCGGAAUUACUGGGCGUAAAGCGUGCGUAGGUGGCGCGUUAAGUGCAAUGCGAAAUCCUGUGGCUCAACCAUAUGGACUGUAUUGCAUACUGGCGUGCUUGAGGAUGGCAGAGGCAAGUGGAAUUCCUCGUGUAGCAGUGAAAUGCGUAGAUAUGAGGAGGAACACCAAUGGCGAAGGCAGCUUGCUGGGCCACACCUGACACUGAGGUACGAAAGCGUGGGGAGCGAACAGG